AUAAGUAAGCUGGGCGGAAAAGACACUAAAUAGGAUUCCCGCAGUAAUUGCGAAUGAAAAGGGAUAGGCUCAGCAUCGAAAUUGAGGCCAUUGGCCUUGAAUUGUAGUCUCGGGAUGUACCGCCAACCGAGGCACAGGUGUAAGCCUCUUGGAAAAGAGCACCGACGAGGGUGAGAGUCCCGCUCGGCAUCUGCAGCCCCCUGUGUACGGCGUAUAUCUUCAGAGUCACGUUCCUCGGAAUUGGAGCGCAAAGCUGGUGGUAAGUUUCAUCUCAAGCUAAAUACUGGCUCGAUACUGAUAGCCAACAAGUACCAUGAGGGAAAGAUGCAAAGGACUUUGGAAAGAGAGCUAAAAGUGCCUGAAAGUGCUGAAUGGGAAGCGAAUGGAACCAGUCCGCUAGGUGAGAUUGUUGCGCGCGAUCGUGACUGGCUGUGGCCUCAAGCCUCGCUGUGGCAAUGGGCUUUGAAGUGGGCGCGCGCGGUGGUUCUCGCUUUGUGUGUCAUCAUUAGUUCGCGAUAGAGGACAACUCUAUGGGCAUGGCAGCUUGCUACUGGGGCGUGCGAAUGUGCCUGGCAGAACUCAUUUGUGUACUGAUGCAGCGGCGUAUUGGCAAACAUGGUUCUAUCCCGACCCGUCUG
rnacentral:rRNA from 1 species